rnacentral:rRNA from 1 species
GGUUAAGUGAAUAAGGGCGCACGGUGGAUGCCUUGGCACUAGGAGCCGAUGAAGGACGGGACUAACACCGAUAUGCUUUGGGGAGCUGUAAGUAAGCUAUGAUCCAGAGAUUUCCGAAUGGGGGAACCCAAUAUCUUUUAUAGGAUAUUACUUUUCAGUGAAUACAUAGCUGAUUAGAGGUAGACGCAGAGAACUGAAACAUCUUAGUACCUGCAGGAAGAGAAAGAAAAUUCGAUUCCCUGAGUAGCGGCGAGCGAAACGGGAAGAGCCCAAACCAACAAGCUUGCUUGUUGGGGUUGUAGGACUCCAAUAUGGUAGUCUGUUAGUAUAGUUGAAGGAUUUGGAAAAUUCCGCUAAAGAGGGUGAAAGCCCCGUAGACGAAAUGCUAACAACACCUAGGAGGAUCCUGAGUACGGCGGAACACGAGAAAUUCCGUCGGAAUCCGCGGGGACCAUCCCGCAAGGCUAAAUACUCCCUAGUGACCGAUAGUGAACCAGUACCGUGAGGGAAAGGUGAAAAGCACCCCGGAAGGGGAGUGAAAUAGAUCCUGAAACCGUGUGCCUACAACAAGUCAAAGCUCGUUAAUGAGUGAUGGCGUGCCUUUUGUAGAAUGAACCGGCGAGUUACGAUUGCAUGCGAGGUUAAGUCGAAGAGACGGAGCCGCAGCGAAAGCGAGUCUGAAUAGGGCGAAUGAGUAUGUAGUCGUAGACCCGAAACCAUGUGAUCUACCCAUGUCCAGGUUGAAGGUGCGGUAAAACGCACUGGAGGACCGAACCCACGUACGUUGAAAAGUGCGGGGAUGAGGUGUGGGUAGCGGAGAAAUUCCAAACGAACUUGGAGAUAGCUGGUUCUCUCCGAAAUAGCUUUAGGGCUAGCCUCGGAAUUGAGAAUGAUGGAGGUAGAGCACUGUUUGGACUAGGGGCCCAUCUCGGGUUACCGAAUUCAGAUAAACUCCGAAUGCCAUUCAUUUAUAUCCGGGAGUCAGACUGCGAGUGAUAAGAUCCGUAGUCGAAAGGGAAACAGCCCAGACCACCAGCUAAGGUCCCAAAAUAUAUGUUAAGUGGAAAAGGAUGUGGGGUUGCACAGACAACUAGGAAGCUGUGGACUACACCAUUAGGUGUAGUGGUAGGAGAGCGUUCUAAGGGCGUUGAAGGUCGAUCGUGAGGACGGCUGGAGCGCUUAGAAGUGAGAAUGCCGGUAUGAGUAGCGAAAGACAGGUGAGAAUCCUGUCCACCGUAUGACUAAGGUUUCCUGGGGAAGGCUCGUCCGCCCAGGGUUAGUCGGGACCUAAGCCGAGGCCGAUAGGCGUAGGCGAUGGACAACAGGUUGAUAUUCCUGUACCAGUUGUUUUUGUUUGAGCAAUGGAGGGACGCAGUAGGCUAAGGAAUGCAUGCGAUUGGAAGUGCAUGUCCAAGCAAUGAGUCUUGAGUAGAGUUAAAUGCUUUACUCUCUAAGGACAAGUUGUGACGGGGAGCGAAAUAAUAGUAGCGAAGUUCCUGAUGUCACACUGCCAAGAAAAGCUUCUAGUGAGAAAACAACUGCCCGUACCGUAAACCGACACAGGUAGUCGAGGAGAGUAUCCUAAGGUGAGCGAGCGAACUCUCGUUAAGGAACUCGGCAAAAUGACCCCGUAACUUCGGGAGAAGGGGUGCUGACUUCGGUCAGCCGCAGUGAAUAGGCCCAAGCGACUGUUUAUCAAAAACACAGGUCUCUGCAAAAUCGUAAGAUGAAGUAUAGGGGCUGACGCCUGCCCGGUGCUGGAAGGUUAAGAGGAUGGGUUAGCUUCGGCGAAGCUCAGAAUUGAAGCCCCAGUAAACGGCGGCCGUAACUAUAACGGUCCUAAGGUAGCGAAAUUCCUUGUCGGGUAAGUUCCGACCCGCACGAAAGGCGUAACGAUUUGG